GAGUUUGAUCGUGGCUCAAAUUGAACGCUGGCGGCAUGCCCUACACAUGCAAGUCGAACGGCAGCAUGAUCUAGCUUGCUAGAUUGAUGGCGAGUGGCGAACGGGUGAGUAAUACAUCGGAACGUGCCCUGUGGUGGGGGAUAACUAGUCGAAAGAUUAGCUAAUACCGCAUACGACCUGAGGGUGAAAGUGGGGGACCGCAAGGCCUCAUGCUAUAGGAGCGGCCGAUGUCUGAUUAGCUAGUUGGUGGGGUAAAGGCCCACCAAGGCGACGAGUCAGUAGCUGGUCUGAGAGGACGAUCAGCCACACUGGGACUGAGACACGGCCCAGACUCCUACGGGAGGCAGCAGUGGGAAUUUUGGACAAUGGGGGCAACCCUGAUCCAGCAAUGCGCGUGUGUGAAGAAGGCCU
rnacentral:rRNA from 1 species